rnacentral:rRNA from 1 species
UACGGAGGGUGCAAACGUUGCUCGGAAUCAUUGGGCGUAAAGCGCACGUAGGCGGUCGGCUAUGUCGGAUGUGAAAGCCUCGGGCUUAACCCGAGAAGGGCAUCCGAAACUGGCCGGCUUGAGUACGGAAGAGGGUCUCGGAAUUCCCGGUGUAGAGGUGAAAUUCGUAGAUAUUCGGAAGAACACCAGUGGCGAAGGCGACUCGCUGGACAGGUAUUGACGCUGAGGUGCGAAAGCGUGGGGAGCAAACAGG